UACGUAGGGUCCGAGCGUUGUCCGGAAUUACUGGGCGUAAAGAGCUCGUAGGUGGUUUGUCGCGUUGUUCGUGAAAACUCACAGCUUAACUGUGGGCGUGCGGGCGAUACGGGCGGACUUGAGUACUGCAGGGGAGACUGGAAUUCCUGGUGUAGCGGUGAAAUGCGCAGAUAUCAGGAGGAACACCGGUGGCGAAGGCGGGUCUCUGGGCAGUAACUGACGCUGAGGAGCGAAAGCGUGGGGAGCGAACAGG
rnacentral:rRNA from 1 species